AGAGUUUGAUCAUGGCUCAGAUUGAACGCUGGCGGCAGGCCUAACACAUGCAAGUCGAACGGUAACAGGAAGAAGCUUGCUUCUUUGCUGACGAGUGGCGGACGGGUGAGUAAUGUCUGGGAAACUGCCUGAUGGAGGGGGAUAACUACUGGAAACGGUAGCUAAUACCGCAUAACGUCGCAAGACCAAAGAGGGGGACCUUCGGGCCUCUUGCCAUCGGAUGUGCCCAGAUGGGAUUAGCUAGUAGGUGGGGUAACGGCUCACCUAGGCGACGAUCCCUAGCUGGUCUGAGAGGAUGACCAGCCACACUGGAACUGAGACACGGUCCAGACUCCUACGGGAGGCAGCAGUGGGGAAUAUUGCACAAUGGGCGCAAGCCUGAUGCAGCCAUGCCGCGUGUAUGAAGAAGGCCUUCGGGUUGUAAAGUACUUUCAGCGGGGAGGAAGGGAGUAAAGUUAAUACCUUUGCUCAUUGACGUUACCCGCAGAAGAAGCACCGGCUAACUCCGUGCCAGCAGCCGCGGUAAUAUGUGGGUGCAAGCGUUAAUCGGAAUUACUGGGCGUAAAGCGCACGCAGGCGGUUUGUUAAGUCAGAUGUGAAAUCCCCGGGCUCAACCUGGGAACUGCAUCUGAUACUGGCAAGCUUGAGUCUCGUAGAGGGGGGUAGAAUUCCAGGUGUAGCGGUGAAAUGCGUAGAGAUCUGGAGGAAUACCGGUGGCGAAGGCGGCCCCCUGGACGAAGACUGACGCUCAGGUGCGAAAGCGUGGGGGGCAAACAGGAUUAGAUACCCUGGUAGUCCACGCCGUAAACGAUGUCGACUUGGAGGUUGUGCCCUUGAGGCGUGGCUUCCGGAGCUAACGCGUUAAGUCGACCGCCUGGGGAGUACGGCCGCAAGGUUAAAACUCAAAUGAAUUGACGGGGGCCCGCACAAGCGGUGGAGCAUGUGGUUUAAUUCGAUGCAACGCGAAGAACCUUACCUGGUCUUGACAUCCACGGAAGUUUUCAGAGAUGAGAAUGUGCCUUCGGGAACCGAGAGACAGGUGCUGCAUGGCUGUCGUCAGCUCGUGUUGUGAAAUGUUGGGUUAAGUCCCGCAACGAGCGCAACCCUUAUCCUUUGUUGCCAGCGGUCCGGCCGGGAACUCAAAGGAGACUGCCAGUGAUAAACUGGAGGAAGGUGGGGAUGACGUCAAGUCAUCAUGGCCCCUUACGACCAGGGCUACACACGUGCUACAACGGCGCAUACAAAGAGAAGCGACCUCGCGAGAGCAAGCGGACCUCAUAAAGUGCGUCGUAGUCCGGAUUGGAGUCUGCAACUCGACUCCAUGAAGUCGGAAUCGCUAGUAAUCGUGGAUCAGAAUGCCACGGUGAAUACGUUCCCGGGCCUUGUACACACCGCCCGUCACACCAUGGGAGUGGGUUGCAAAAGAAGUAGGUAGCUUAACCUUCGGGAGGGCGCUUACCACUUUGUGAUUCAUGACUGGGGUGAAGUCGUAACAAGGUAACCGUAGGGGAACCUGCGGUUG
rnacentral:rRNA from 1 species